rnacentral:rRNA from 1 species
UACGAAGGGGGCUAGCGUUGUUCGGAAUUACUGGGCGUAAAGGGCGCGUAGGCGGUGCCUCAAGUCAGGCGUGAAAGCCCCGGGCUCAACCUGGGAACCGCGCUUGAGACUGGAGUACUGGAGUUCGGGAGAGGAUGGUGGAAUUCCCAGUGUAGAGGUGAAAUUCGUAGAUAUUCGCAAGAACACCAGUGGCGAAGGCGGCUCACUGGUCCGGUACUGACGCUGAGGUGCGAAAGCGUGGGGAGCAAACAGG